UUCAGAGAAGUGAUUUUAGCCUGAGCUACACAGGCAGGAAGACCACCAGCCUGCAAGGCAGGACGUACGAAUGAUGUUAUUUCUGGCAAGGAGGACAUGGCUGCUGUGGUUGAUUGGCUGUGGAAUUCCAGGGGAGCAAGGCACUAGGAAGUGGGGAACGCUGCCAGGCCCAGCAGCUCAUCAGGAGCUUGCACUUGGCCCAGUUAGGGCUGGCCGUGGGACACGCUUGUUGAAGCUGCUGCCGUAAGCUGCCCCUCUGCACCAGGAGACAGAUCCCAUUACCCCACCUACAGCUGCUUCCUGGUACAAGAGAAGAGUUACCAUUUGAAGUGACUCUGUAGGAGAGUCUGACAAACAUGUUUGCUUUUCACUGACAAUUAAAAUUGUUUUGCUGCUAA
rnacentral:antisense_RNA from 1 species